UUUUUUUUUUUGUUUUGUUUUGGGGGGGUUUUCUUAAGCUUUUUUUUUUUUUUAAAUGAUGCUGUGACAGGAAUGAAAAUUGACACUGAAGCUUCACAUUUUUUUGUGAAUGGGGACAGCAUGUGUUUUUAAUAUUUGUAUGUGUUUUUGUAUGUUUUUGGUUUUUACCUUAUGAUCUUUGAUACACUUAAUUUUAUUUGAACUCAUUCUUUCACUUUUGGGUUGUGUGGCUACUUCUCAAUAUUCCCUAUAUAAUGGGGUACUGACAUUUCAUCACUAAUCUAACUAAUGGUAGAGUCAGAUUUGUGGCAAGAAUAGAUUUGGAGACGGAACAAUAGCUGACAUUUUGUCUUUUCACAGUAAUUCCUUUAUAAGUUAUAGGGAUAUUUUUACAUAUCUAUUUCCGAAUAGUAUGUGCCAUUUGAUAUUGUAUCUAAAAGUACUAACGUAUAGAUACCAUUGCAAAGGUUUCCAGAAAAUGAACAAAAACGUUCAACAUACCAUUGCAAUGUUUUUUGUUUGCCCCUGAUGCUUUUCAUUUUUUUGUGGUCAAUAUGUAUUUGAUCCACACGUGCACAUAGCAGAAAAUACUGCAAAGUGGUUCCCACUAAGAAUGUAUCACAUUAUUUUAAAAUUGGUAGUUUUCAGUGAUGCCUUACAGAGCUCCAAUCCAGACUUUUUGUGCCUGAAACCUAAAUUGGAAGAAAAAUAUGUAUAGUUUGGUUUUGGUUUUUCCUUAAAACUCUGCCAAAAUUAAGUGCUUUUCAUGAGCGUCCUAUGUGGGAGUACUAGGAAACCUUUAAGACCCAAAUAGGUUGCAAAUGUCAAAUGUGUAUUUUUAUACCAUUGUGUGCCAGUUAUGUAAGCAAUGCACUGUGUUGGUAAUCGCAUUGGCACAAAUUACAAUUUAAGCAGAUGUUAAACUUGCCUUUUGAACCAUUUAUUUUUGGUUCCAGCAAACUACUAAUACAUGAUGAAGCGAUUUUCUUGUAAACAGAUAAUCCCUUUAAAAGUCGUACGGACACUUUUAAUUACCCAGAUGCCGUGGUAAAAGAUUGGAUGGGGAAUGGUAGUUGUAGUACUUUCUUGGUUCUUAUAAUGCCGAAGCAGAUAACAUGACACUUGUUUUCUAAAUGUGUAAGUAAAUGAUUAUAAUUUUUUUUAUUGGUGGGUUGAUUUAGUGUUGUAUAAAAGUAGAUAUUUAGCUAAUGAGAUACAAGGGCCACAGGAUAAAGCAUUGGAACUUUAAUACUCCUGAUGUUGCCUAACCCAUACAGGUCAAGUUUUAACUUGCCCUACACUGAUAGCAUAGAUGGAAGUUGCUACAGCUAACUAUUAUGCCACAAAAUCCAUAAAAUCUGAGUUGAUAAAUGUACACUUUUAUUUUGGUUUUAUUUAGAAAAGGAGUGUUUCCAACCAUGUACUAUAAUUACUCCUAAUGUUUUUAUCCAUAUGUUUUGAAUUUAUACAACCAAAGAUCCACAGAUUGUGCUUCUGGGUGUAUCUAUGUCUAUGUAAAUCCAGCUGCAUACACGUUUUUGUGUAUGUGCAUUCAUAUUUUAUGCCAUGCUGUUAAUGUUUUUUUGGGAUGUCAUCAUGCUGCCACAAUUUAAAGUAGAAAGGAGACAGAUGUUGGAAUUUGGUGCAAUUUUUUUAAUUGAUUCAUUGAGCAUCUGUUUUUUUUCCCUCCCCACUAUAUAAGUUAAUUGGGCUUCACUUUUUCAUUUUAAAUAUUGUUUAGUAUCAAAUUAAACAGUGAUGCAUUAUUCUUCCGUGUGUCUUGGACUUUAAUUUUGUUCAUAAGAAGAAUGUUGUAGGCCCGUCUGUCACUUUCCAACAAUUUGUCUUAGGAAAGAGAAGCCUUUGAAACUGCAUAGCUGCAUUUCAAAGGAAUUCUCAAAGCACCAUAACCACUACAUCUUUUUGUCACCCUGCCAUUAUAAAUAGUCAAACCUGUUUGAGCUCUUACAUGAGGUCCAUUGGGCACCAAUCCCCACCUCCACCAUUAACAAUGAAGAACCAGAAGCUCUCUGUCUAAAUGAAGUUCUGCACUGUAGUGCUUAGUUUAGGAGAGCUAAUGGAAGUUCCCGCUUAGGACUUUCCAGUUCCUUGUUGUCUGCAGUAUAGGCAGAAAUAGGAGCCCACCAGAUUCAUUGGCUUCUUACAAUGGGUGGGGCACCAGGGCACUUGUGGUACCAUAACCACUGUAGUAAACUGUAGUGGUUAUGGUGCUUGGAAUGUUCCUUUAAUGCAUGAAAAAUUUUUUUUUUAAAUAAACAAAUGGUGAUUUAAUAAAUAACUAUAAAAAACCCCUUCUGUAAUGAUCUGCAAUGCCUUCUGCUUCCUCAAUAUCAUUUUGGAACAACAUGCUCGGUUCUUCCAGCCAAUUUUUGUUUUUCAUUUUACUUGUAUAGGCAGCUUGUAUAUCAUGCUCACUAGCACUGCCAUGUUUCUUUAUUGGCUGAAAUUAAUGAAUGAACUAAAACAUGUUUAAGUCAAUGAAUGCUACCUGCUGCUUUUAUUCACUGGAAUGUUUGUUAAAUCAUUAUUUCAAGUCAGUGGAGAAACCGUUGUACACACAUGCGUCCUAACUUUUCACUUUCGCUUUCUUUUGGAAAAGCCAGCAAGUGGAAAGUUGCCAGCGUGUGCACUAGGUUGCACAAUAUUUCUGCAAAUAUCAAUUAUUGUUUUUGCAUGGGGCGUUAGCAAAGGAUUUCAAGGGCAAUUCUAUAUUUGCUAUCAAUGUACUGCCAGUUAAUUAUAGAUAAAAGAAUGAAGUUAUUCAACUCCCUUAUUGUUAGAAUCAAUUGUUCCACCUUUGAACCAAGCCACAGUGUGUUUGUUCCACUGUUACAUAAGAGUCUCUACAUAGGUGCCCCCCAUAUAUAUUAUAUUUUUUUAAAUGGCAGAAAUUUAAUUAUUUUAUUAUCCUUUAUGUAUACUCAACACAUCAUUAAGUGUGAAUGAAAUGUUAAAAAUGGGUAAACAAAACAUAUUUUUCAAAAUUUUUUCUUUUAAUACAUUUCCACAUCCAGUGCUACUUAAGAAAAGGAACUCAAAAUAGAUCAUAUCAGCCAUGUUUUUUUGUUUUUUUUAAAUACCACAUAUGUCUAGGAUCUAAAAUUACUUUUGACGGAUAAUGCUAACUGUAUACAGACCUAAAUUAUGCUUACUCUAACUGUAUACCUACCUUAACCUAACACUAACCCUAAAACCGCAUUAACACAUACCCUAAUACUAACCAUACCCCUUAUAAAUUCCCUCUGCUAAUAUCAGUACGGAUAGUAGAUGUAUUUUCUUUGACUGCCAUCUACUGGCCCUUUUCAGAAUGGAGAUCUCACUGUAAUGCUGAACCUCCAGCAUGCUCCCUAGCACUGAUCACAAUUGGCAAGGGGCAUGCAGGGAGAACCUUUGUCUUCUGUUGAAUAACUCCCACAGCUGACAGCUAGCGAUUAACCAUGACUGAGCUUGAUCUGCUUAGCCACAGUGAUUUCAAAAGGCUGUAUACAUUGCAUAUAUAUCAGUCAGUCUGGGACCAUUAAAUAUUAAAGCCCAUGUAUUGAUUGAUACCGGGAUAGCCUGUUCAUACCAUGUUGCAGCCACUAAGAUUCAAAUCCCCAUUUAAAGGACUGUAUGCAACACUCACUUGGAGCGCUGCAUACAGCUUAUCAGUUUGGAGCCACUAAAGAUGACGGAGCCCCAAGUACCUCUCAUAUGUUGUUAAAGCCUGUUUUUUGUAGGACAUAAUGACACGUCCUAACAUCGUUAUGGGGCAAAAACUCACUUUUCUCAAUUUUAAAUGUUUACUUAUCAAUAUAUUUAAUAAUUAUGUAUUUGUCUAGUAUGAAAAAUAAAGUUAAAUGUAGAAAUCAACACUUCUUUAUCCUGCAGCUGGGCACCUCCACCUAAACCUGGCUGUCGGCAUAAAGAAAGCAUACAGAGAAGAAGAGAAAUUAAACAAUAUUUCUAUUGAAAUUAUGGUUCACCUUUAUAUUUACUCCGAGGGUAUAGCCAUAUAUAAGUGUGGUUUACUCUUAAAUACAAUUUACGUAAAAGUGUGCCACUGUGCAAAAUAUCUUUUUAAGGUUGUUCAUAAAGUAAGUAUACUGCUUAUGUACACUUGUUGAGUUUUUUAUGAUGUACAAUUUUUUGAGGAGCUAUAACAUUAUGUAAAAUGUAAUAAUGUCCAAUAAAGAGAUUAAAUAUAAAUAACAA